rnacentral:snRNA from 1 species
AUCGUUCGCGAUGAUACAUCUGUCAAUUUUAAGAACACAGAGAAGAUCAGCACUGCCUUGCAUAAAGAUGACACACUAUACAAAGAUAUUUACCUUUUUUUA